rnacentral:rRNA from 1 species
GACGAACGCUGGCGGCGUGCUUAACACAUGCAAGUCGAGCGGUAAGGCCCUUUCGGGGGUACACGAGCGGCGAACGGGUGAGUAACACGUGGGUGACCUGCCCUCAGCUCUGGGAUAAGCCUGGGAACCGGGUCUAAUACUGGAUAUGACUCCAUGACGCAUGUUGUGGGGUGGAAAGCCUUGUGCGGCUGAGGAUGGGCCCGCGGCCUAUCAGCUUGUUGGUGGGGUGANGGCCUACCAAGGCGACGACGGGUAGCCGGCCUGAGAGGGCGACCGGCCACACUGGGACUGAGACACGGCCCAGACUCCUACGGGAGGCAGCAGUGGGGAAUCUUGCGC